UUAUGCAUACCUCUACCAUUUGUAUAGCAGGAAAACAUAUAACUAAUGUUUAACUAAAAUACAAAUAUAUUAUAACUAAAUACAUAAAUUUCUGCCAUUUCAUUUCAUAUUCAAGGCGUACAUCAAAAAAAUUCAAAGUGGUGUACCUAGUAUUGGAAUACAAAGAAGAUUAAGAUCAGUAGGAAGCAAUGGCAGCACACACACAUCAAUAGUAGUUCAACAACACGGGAGAAACCCAGUAACAACGGGAAUAACAGAAAACCCAGGAGAUUGCAAACAAACAAAAAAAAUAAGGAAUUUCCAAACCAACCGAAAACCAAUAGUAAACCCAAGCAACGCUACUUGAAUGCCAGUAGUAUUAGAAAACAAGCAGAUACUAACAGAGAAAUAACCUGUUGCCAAAAAUAGUCACUUCAAAUUUUUAACACUCAGGAAAAAGAAGCUUGAAACUUCAAUGAACAAUAGAAGUUGAUGUUGAUUGUUAACAGUGAAGAAGAACAUACUUUUUCUUUAUUUUCUAACUUUCAAACACUCAAAAAUUCUUAAGAUUCAAAGUCUUUUUCUUUUUUCCAUCUAGUAAUGAAAAUAUUUUUCUCUUUAAAUUUAGUCCUUGUAUACCCAAAGCAAGACUCUUUCCUCUAUUCUUUUAACUAUUAACUUUUACUUUUAAAUUAUUAUUACUAACCAUUUUACCUCUUUUACUUUCCAGCCCAUAUUCUUCUAACUAUGUGGCUUUUUAACCUUUUAUUGUUACAUAUACUAUAUCUGAUUUUAAUUAAGUAAAAGUAGUCAACACGAUCCUGCAUUUUAUGUGGAAGAGACACUAAAGAAACACACGACCAUUUAUACUUUGAAUGUUUAUACUCCCAAGCACUGUGGCAAGGUAUGUUACAAUGGUUGAAGUAUCAAAGAACGACAGGUACAUGGAAAACAGAAGUGUAAUGGUUAACUGCUAAUGUUAACAGCAGAAACCCCAGAAAAACCAUCCUAGGUGUGGUGUUUGCAGCAGUAGUUUACAACAUCUGGAUGGAAAGGAACANNNNNNNNNNNNNNNNNNNNNNNNNNNNNNNNNNNNNNNNNNNNNNNNNNNNNNNNNNNNNNNNNNNNNNNNNNNNNNNNGAAAAGGAACAACAGAAGGUUUCAACAAUCAAGCAGAGACGCCAAAGAUCGAGCAAAGGAGAUUGCACUUCAAGUGCACUUUACUGGCAUAAAGCUACCUAAAUGGUCACCCAUUUUACAGAACAUUAACAGCUAUCCUUCGUGUGAGUAUCCAAAAUUGUAGCAACUUUCUCUCUGUGAUAGGAUAUUAGCUUAACAACAAUAGUUGUAGAGUUUCAAAUUGAUUGUACUGUUGAGAUCUGUUCUAGAGUCCAAAAGAACAGAUGAUGUAAAUUUGCCAAAUAGUUGAAAUAAAACAAAAAAUUUCUUCUAAAAAAAGUAGUCAACACGAACCCCACAGUCUCACCUAUUUAGUGGUCAAAGAAGACCUUUUAUUAUUACCCCCCUUUUUCCUUUACAUCAUUAUGUAUUAUCCCCCACAAACCCUUGUCCCCUCUUAUUUUAAUUAAAUGUUACGGGCCCACAUUUAAUUAAUUCCCAAAAUACCCCCAAAAUUAUUGAAAAUUAUUAUUCUUUCCCAUCAUCUAUAUCCAAUCUUUCCUAAUCAAUUCAAACAAUUAAUAUCACCAAACAAACUCCUAAUCAACAACAUUCAGGAAUCACUUCAACAAAGUAAGAUUUAUAUCAACAUUUGAAGAUCAUAUUCAUAUUUGAAAAAGAACAAUCUAGUAGAUUUAAAUUACCAAACUCAACAUCAGUUGAACUUCAAAUUAAAAUCAACAGCAUUAUAACCAAGAUGAAAGAUUCAAGUGAUUUAAACUAACACACUUCUAUAUUAAAACUAAACAAGAACAAAUAAAUGAAAAUUGGGUUGGUUAUUGAACCGCCCAUUUAGCGAGAAAUUUAAAACAAACUGAACUAGGAGUGAAUCUUAUCAACACUCUAAAUCAAAACUAUACAAAAAUGUAAGAUUACUGACAGUGAGCUAAAUUCCUAUGGAUUAUCACAUGACACAUCAAAGAGUAUAACCCAUGACAAUCAAAUAAACGAUGAACAAAACUGAAAUACAACUAAGAAAAACAAAUAACAAUAUCAAAAAUAGAACAAAAGAAGAGGAAAAUACCUCAUGAAAUCAGAACAAGGCGAACUCAAGCUUGAACUUAUCCGUUUCCCCUCUGCUAUUUCUCGUCAUUAUUUUGUAUAUUUUUAGGAUUGUUGAUGAUCGGACAAGGUGAAGACGAGGACUGUUGACGAGCAGUUAGUGUUCAACGACGAGCAUGGUGUUAGACGACUCGACUGGGCCGGCGUGACUGCUGAUCGUUUGGUCAUUUGGAUCUAUCUUCAUGGUUGUUUGGAUUGGUCGUUGGUGUGAGUUGACAGAGGAAGAAGAAAACGACGCAGCAGGGGGUGGUCGUUUGGUUGCGUGAAGGAGACAUGAAGGUGGUUCGCUUGAGAUGAAGGUUUUGGAGAUGAUGAAGACGAUCAACGACUGGGUGGUCGACGAUGGGAGGCAGUGUGGGUUCGACUGGUUGGAGAUGAUGACCAGGCAGGGGGUUCGUUUUCGUCGUUUGAUUGGUUAGCGAUAUGGGUGGUCGUUUGGAACAAGGGGUGAAGCAGACUGGUUCGUCGGUGGUCGUGGGUGACGAUGCUGGGCAAUGAAGUGGUCGACUGGACUGCUUCAAACAUUGGUCUGGACGUUUCUGCGUUCUUGUGGAAUUUGGUUGCUCGUGGAGGUUGAUGGGGCAGCAACGUCAUUGCUGGGGUCUUCUGGUCGACGGGCUGUGCGAUGGUGAGAAGCUAGUUGGGUAGUUUUUCGGCGAACUGAGAGUGAUGGGGUGGUGGGGAAGAUGAGGAAGAACGGAGGGGGCAGCAUGGUGGUCAGAAAUGAUGGGUUUCCGACGUGGGGGUGGUUUCUAGCUAAGGUUUUGAGGGUGUGUUUGGAGAAGAUGAAGAGAGGGUGGUGGGUGCUUAGGUGUGACGGCCAGAGAGAGUUUAGGGUGUGUUUAGGGUUAGGUUAUUUGGUUAAAUGAAAAAAGAAUCUGAAAAAUCAAAAGAG
rnacentral:lncRNA from 1 species